AUGAUCUCCCACAAACUCUGCUGCUGCGUCUCCAUUCUCGUCGCCCCCUUCCUUGCACAGCUCGCCUCCGGCGACGUGCUGUGGCAAGAAUGCGACAACAGCCGGAACUACACGGCGAACAGCGGCUUCCAAUCAAACCUAAAGCAGCUCUCCACCACCCUCCCCACUGAAUCCUCCUCAUCUCCCACCCUCUUCGCUACCGCCGCCGUAGGUGCCAUCCCGGACACCGCGUACGCGCUCUCGCUCUGCCGUGGCGACACCACCAACGCCUCCGCCUGCGGCGACUGCGUCGCCAACGCCUUCCGGGACGCGCAGCAGGUGUGCUCGUACAACAUGGACGUGACCAUCUACUACGACCCCUGCUACCUCCGCUUCUCCAACCAGAACUUCCUGACUUCCAUCGACAACACCAAACGGCACAUCAUGCCCAAUGGCGAGAACGUGACGUCGCCGGCCGCAACGUUCGACGCCGCCGUGGGUGUUCUCCUUGCUGCUGUCGCGGACUACGCAGCGUUGAACUCAUCCAGGCGGUUUGGCACAGGGGUAGAGGACCUCGACGUGAGCACCCCGAGAAUCUAUGCGAUGGCGCAGUGCACGCCGGACAUGGCACCGGCCGAUUGCCGGAGCUGCCUGGAGGGAAUAGUAAGUGUGAUGCCGAAGCACUUCAGCAGGCGGCAGGGAGGAAGGAUCCUGGGUUUACGGUGCAACUACAGGUUUGAGCUAUAUCCUCCAUUCUCGGACAGUCCGCUUCUACACCUCCCAGCACCGGCCUCGGGCGUGACACCCUCGGUAGAUGGAGAUGGAGGAGGGAGAAGAAAUAAACCAAGUACCAUCCUACUGGCCCUAGCAGUUGCACUGGCCGUUGUUUCUGCAGCAUUGACUUUCACUAUAGUUUGCUUUUGUGUAAGGAGAAGGAGAAGACAACAAGAAUUACCGUCACAACCAUAUUCUGGAAACUGGGAAAGCGUUCCAAACAUCAAUUUACCCAUGCUAGAUUUGUCAGCACUGGAAGUUGCAACAGAGAACUUUUCAGAAGGAAAUAAGCUUGGUGAAGGAGGGUUUGGUGCCGUUUACAAGGGAUCCCUUGCUGAUGGCCAAGAGAUAGCAGUGAAGAGACUCUCACAAGGUUCAGCACAAGGAAUAGCAGAGCUAAAAACUGAGCUGGUAUUGGUUGCUAAGCUUCAGCACAAAAACCUUGUGAGGCUUAUCGGCGUUUGUUUGGAAGAACACGAGAAGCUCGUUAUCUACGAAUACAUGCCCAAUAGAAGCCUUGACACGAUCCUCUUUGAUCCUGAGAGGAGCAAGCAUCUUGAUUGGGGGAAGAGGUUCAAGAUAAUAAAUGGGAUUGCCAGAGGUUUGCAAUACGUUCAUGAAGAUUCUCAGUUGAAAAUAAUCCACAGAGACCUCAAAGCAAGCAAUGUUCUGUUAGACUCAGAUUUGAAUCCAAAGAUUUCAGACUUCGGUUUGGCGAGGUUGUUUGAAGGGGAUCAAUCAAAGGAUGUCACAAACAGAGUUGUUGGGACGUUCGGAUACAUGGCACCUGAAUAUGUUGUUCGCGGGCACUAUUCGACAAAAUCAGACGUGUUCAGCUUCGGAAUUCUGGUUUUAGAGAUCAUAACAGGAAGAAGAAACUGUGGAUCUUACAACUCCGAGCAAUCCGUUGACCUCUUAAGUCUUAUAUGGGAACACUGGACCAGCGGAACGAUCUUGGAGAUAGCUGACCCGUCCCUUGCAAGCAGAAGCAGUGUUCCCGAAGAGGAGAUACUCACGUACGUGCACAUCGGACUGAUGUGCGUUCAGGAGAGCCCUGCGGACAGGCCUACGAUGUCACGGGCGAAUGCGAUCCUUAACAGCGACACCGUCUCGCUUCAGGCCCCGUCCAAGCCGGCUUUCUGCAUCCGGGCAUGUACCGCCGGGCCGGAACCACGACACGGCGCCUCGCAAGGCCGUGGCAGGCCGGCGGUGGUUUCACCAAACGAGGUUUCGCUCACGGAGCUUGUACCGAGAUAA
rnacentral:rRNA from 1 species